rnacentral:misc_RNA from 1 species
GUUUACUCUUUGAGAUGUUAUUAUACCCAUAAGCAAUAGCAACAUCCUCCAUGACGUCACAUGGGUGAAGCACAUCACUCCUUGUUGGGGGCACAGAUAUAGUUAUACUAGACUUGUCACCAGAUACUGACUGUUCAGCGUGCAAUUGCAUCCUAUUUAACAAAUUGAUAACCUCUUCUGCCUCCAAUGAGACUCCAAUACACUUAUUGAUAUAAGAC